GACGAACGCUGGCGGCGUGCUUAACACAUGCAAGUCGAGCGAAUGGAUUAAGAGCUUGCUCUUAUGAAGUUAGCGGCGGACGGGCGAGUAACACGUGGGUAACCUGCCCAUAAGACUGGGAUAACUCCGGGAAACCGGGGCUAAUACCGGAUAACAUUUUGAACCGCAUGGUUCGAAAUUGAAAGGCGGCUUCGGCUGUCACUUAUGGAUGGACCCGCGUCGCAUUAGCUAGUUGGUGAGGUAACGGCUCACCAAGGCAACGAUGCGUAGCCGACCUGAGAGGGCGAUCGGCCACAAUGGGACUGAGACACGGCCCAGACUCCUACGGGAGGCAGCAGUAGGGAAUCUUCCGCAAUGGACGAAAGUCUGACGGAGCAACGCCGCGUGAGUGAUGAAGGCUUUCGGGUCGUAAAACUCUGUUGUUAGGGAAGAACAAGUGCUAGUUGAAUAAGCUGGCACCUUGACGGUACCUAACCAGAAAGCCACGGCUAACUACGUGCCAGCAGCCGCGGUAA
rnacentral:rRNA from 1 species